GGAUGUGAGGGUGAUCUAGCUGCAACAUCUGCCACUCAAUUACUCGCCAGCAUUGAUUCAUCUGAUCUGGCGGGCUAGGCGAGUGUCCCCUUCCUCUCUCACCACUCUUUGUGUAUCCUUCCAGAAGCUGUACGCUCAAAGAGGAUGACCAUUCCCCCUAGAAGAGGACCAUUUUUUGGUCAAGGGUAUACAAGUAACUGCACUCCCCUGCUAGAACCUCCAAAUAAGGUCUCAAGAUAAAAUACAUCAUAGAGCACUUUAAAUCGAUAUACUCUGCCAUGGUGAAAAAUUCCAACCAAAACAU
rnacentral:snRNA from 1 species